rnacentral:tRNA from 1 species
GAGGUUUUAGCUUAAUUAGAGCAUUCAGCUGUUACCUGAAUGGUGUAAUAUUAUUACAUUCCUCG